rnacentral:rRNA from 1 species
ACUGCGUACCUUUUGUAUAAUGGGUCAGCGACUUAUAUUCUGUAGCAAGGUUAACCGUAUAGGGGAGCCGGAGGGAAACCGAGUCUUAAUUGGGCGUUAAGUUGCAGGGUAUAGACCCGAAACCCGGUGAUCUAGCCAUGGGCAGGUUGAAGGUUGGGUAACACUAACUGGAGGACCGAACCGACUAAUGUUGAAAAAUUAGCGGAUGACCUGUGGCUGGGGGUGAAAGGCCAAUCAAACCGGGAGAUAGCUGGUUCUCCCCGAAAGCUAUUUAGGUAGCGCCUCGUGAAUUCAUCUCCGGGGGUAGAGCACUGUUUCGGCUAGGGGGCCAUCCCGGCUUACCAACCCGAUGCAAACUGCGAAUACCGGAGAAUGUUAUCACGGGAGACACACGGCGGGUGCUAACGUCCGUCGUGAAGAGGGAAACAACCCAGACCGCCAGCUAAGGUCCCAAAGUCAUGGUUAAGUGGGAAACGAUGUGGGAAGGCCCAGACAGCCAGGAUGUUGGCUUAGAAGCAGCCAUCAUUUAAAGAAAGCGUAAUAGCUCACUGGUCGAGUCGGCCUGCGCGGAAGAUGUAACGGGGCUAAACCAU